ACGCCGCAUUCCAGGUCGAGUUCUUCGAAGCAAUGCCUACUCUGAGGCGUCAAGGGUAACACUUUUCCUCCCUACGACGGAAGCCAUUGCUCUCUUUCUCUGGCCAUCACACUAACAGACAAGAAGAUUUGACAAGCAUGGCAGGUUUCUGCCUCUCAGCCUGGAAACGGGAGGCAAGAAAGCUGCAACUUCUGAAGCCAAUUACUUAAGUUUUUUUUGCCUCAAUCUCUCCUCACAAGAAAGGACUGAAUGAAACCUUCCCAAAGCCCUCUUAUCAUAUGUGCAUUCUAAUCUCCCCCUCGCAAGAAGCGUUCUACGGGGAUCCUUCUGAAGGAAUAGCUUGUUUCUGUGCAGCUCAAAUGUGCCAACAGGGAACAUUUACUCAGAGAUUCUUUGCAGU